rnacentral:rRNA from 1 species
GAUGAACGCUGGCGGCGUGCCUAAUACAUGCAAGUCGAGCGAACGGACGAGAAGCUUGCUUCUCUGAUGUUAGCGGCGGACGGGUGAGUAACACGUGGAUAACCUGCCUAUAAGACUGGGAUAACUUCGGGAAACCGGAGCUAAUACCGGAUAAUGUUAUGAACCGCAUGGUUCAAAAGUGAAAGACGGUCUUGCUGUCACUUAUAGAUGGAUCCGCGCUGCAUUAGCUAGUUGGUAAGGUAACGGCUUACCAAGGCAACGAUGCAUAGCCGACCUGAGAGGGUGAUCGGCCACACUGGAACUGAGACACGGUCCAGACUCCUACGGGAGGCAGCAGUAGGGAAUCUUCCGCAAUGGGCGAAAGCCUGACGGAGCAACGCCGCGUGAGUGAUGAAGGUCUUCGGAUCGUAAAACUCUGUUAUUAGGGAAGAACAUAUGUGUAAGUAACUGUGCACAUCUUGACGGUACCUAAUCAGAAAGCCACGGCUAACUACGUGCCAGCAGCCGCGGUAAUACGUAGGUGGCAAGCGUUAUCCGGAAUUAUUGGGCGUAAAGCGCGCGUAGGCGGUUUUUUAAGUCUGAUGUGAAAGCCCACGGCUCAACCGUGGAGGGUCAUUGGAAACUGGAAAACUUGAGUGCAGAAGAGGAAAGUGGAAUUCCAUGUGUAGCGGUGAAAUGCGCAGAGAUAUGGAGGAACACCAGUGGCGAAGGCGACUUUCUGGUCUGUAACUGACGCUGAUGUGCGAAAGCGUGGGGAUCAAACAGGAUUAGAUACCCUGGUAGUCCACGCCGUAAACGAUGAGUGCUAAGUGUUAGGGGGUUUCCGCCCCUUAGUGCUGCAGCUAACGCAUUAAGCACUCCGCCUGGGGAGUACGACCGCAAGGUUGAAACUCAAAGGAAUUGACGGGGACCCGCACAAGCGGUGGAGCAUGUGGUUUAAUUCGAAGCAACGCGAAGAACCUUACCAAAUCUUGACAUCCUUUGACAACUCUAGAGAUAGAGCUUUCCCCUUCGGGGGACAAAGUGACAGGUGGUGCAUGGUUGUCGUCAGCUCGUGUCGUGAGAUGUUGGGUUAAGUCCCGCAACGAGCGCAACCCUUAAGCUUAGUUGCCAUCAUUAAGUUGGGCACUCUAAGUUGACUGCCGGUGACAAACCGGAGGAAGGUGGGGAUGACGUCAAAUCAUCAUGCCCCUUAUGAUUUGGGCUACACACGUGCUACAAUGGACAAUACAAAGGGCAGCGAAACCGCGAGGUCAAGCAAAUCCCAUAAAGUUGUUCUCAGUUCGGAUUGUAGUCUGCAACUCGACUACAUGAAGCUGGAAUCGCUAGUAAUCGUAGAUCAGCAUGCUACGGUGAAUACGUUCCCGGGUCU